AAUAUGUCCAAAGUCACACCUGGUAGGCAAUUUGAAUCUAAUUUCCUCAUCUCUCUUACCCCAGCCCCUUCUCAGAGACUUAGAUAAAGUCAUGAGAUUAACAACGUACCAGAACUUACACCUCUGUGGGACUGUUGUCUUGCAAAGCAGUCACUUGGAAGGCUGGUACCUAGUUCAAUCAUGUCUCUGGAGCUCAACACAAACUUGUAGCCCCUCUUUAGAAAAUAGCAUGGAUGCUUUCUGAUCACAAGCUUCCUGCUCAAUUGAGUUCUCCACAGGAAGGAAAUAUUGGAGCCACUGAAGCAGUCGAUAGCUCAAGAUGGAGAGAGAGACUGGCAGGAAGCAACAAGAAAGAAAAUGCGUUGGAAACUGAGAAUGGCUAUGGCAAAAAGCAGCAAAGACCCUUGACUUCUAGUCCUUGAGGCAGGGGGCCAAAGCCAACACGGACCUACCAGGAGUGGCCUGAGAAUCCAGAACACAGAGAGGAGCAGCCUGCGUUGCGAUUUUCCCAGAACCCACAACACUUGUUCCACCAACAGUGAACAUCCAGAGGGAGGCUCAACCAUGGAACCUAUACUCUGUUAUGUGGUAAUCAUGCUUUCUCACCUUUUUGUUUUUUGAAAUAGGGUCUCACUCUGUCACUCAGGCUGGAGUGCAAUGGCACGACCUCAGGUCACUGCAAUCUCCACCUCAGCUCAAGCAACCUGCCACCUUAGCCUCCCGAGGAACUAGGACUACAGGUGUGUACCACCACACCCAGCUAAUUUUUUGUAGUUUUGGUAGAGAUGGGGUUUUGCCAUGUUGCCCAGGCUUGUCUCAGACUCCUGAGCUCAAGCGAUCUACCCCCUCGGCCUCCCAAAGUGCUGGAAUUACAGGCAUGAGCCACCGCGCCCAGCCCUUUCUCACUUUUAUUAUUAUUAUUCCUUAUGCCUAGUCAAAACUUUCUCACAUUUAAACCCUUCAAUAAUAGUUUUCUGUAAAAAUAAACAAAUGAGGCCCACAGUGGCUCAUACCUGUAAUCCAGCACUUUGGGGGGCCAAGGCAGGCAGAUCACCUGAGGUCAGGAGUUUGAGACCAGCCUGGCCAACAUGGUGCAACCCCGUCUCUACCAAAAAUACAAAAAUUAGCUGGACAUGGUGGUGGGUGCCUGUAAUCCCAGCUACUCGGGAGGCUGAGGCAGGAGAAUCUCAUGAACCUGGGAGGCGGAGGUUGCAGUGAGCCGAGAUCGUGCCACUGCACUCCAGCCUGGGCAACAAGAACAAAACUCUGUCUUAAAUAAAUAAAUAAAAU
rnacentral:lncRNA from 10 species